rnacentral:lncRNA from 1 species
CUGAGUCAUGCUUCUGUUCAGACACUGAAUAAAAAUUUUAAAUAUUUUGUAAAGCAAUAAAAAUGAAGCAGGAAAAUAUAGAUUAUACUUCCCAGUUACUAUCAACAAAUUUGAGCCCCACUGGUCACUUUCUCAGCCUUAUUUCCCACAUUCUGCCCAGGUCUCUAGGAAUAGCACAGUGAAGGGUAAAACUGUGACCCAAUGUGUCUGAAAUGUUUACACCUGUCACAAGUGCUACCUGUGCAGUUGAGGUAAUAGGUCCAUUCAUGUGUUUUCAGAGUGCAAUCGAAUCACUCUUUGGAGCAUCUAUGACCGGGAUAGCCUAUUCUCUUUUUGGUGGACAGCCCCUGACCAUAUUAGGCAGUACGGGACCUGUUCUGGUGUUUGAAAAGAUCUUGUUUAAAUUCUGCAA